UUUUACUAUUUUUUUUUAACCAGAUGAUAUGUUUAAGGGGCUAUUCUCUUGAUUUAUUUGCAGUAAAAACUUAAAGGUAAUAUGUUUGAAUUAAGAAUUACAGUGUCAGUUUAUCACCAUGAUCAUGCUCAAUUUGAGACUAGGCUAAUUAGGAAAUCUAUGUUUAAGGCCAAUAUGCAUUCUCACCAAUCUGGGGUGACUUUCCUGAAAGCUUUGUAGCCAAUGUUGUAUUUUAAUUAUCUUGACAACCCAGACACCGCUCUUAAUUCGUUCACAUACAGAUUGACUACUAAAUGUUGCUACUUUCUCACUGAUAUGGGUCUGGGUGGUGGAGACUGUGUACUGUCAGCUAUUAAGCUUCAGGGAAACACACUUAUUUUUAUCAUCCAGAGAGAAUUGUCAUUUUGUGCUAUCGGUUUUCUCUUGUACAUGUUUGUCCAGAUGGUGCCUUGGCCAAUUGCGUACUCUGAGCUUCUGUUACUGCCCCAGCAGCAUUUGAUCUCGAGCCAGUGCCUUAAGACACAUUGCCAUUACCAAACUGGAAAUGUAUAAACUUAUCAUACAACCACUAGGUGGCCACAUCAAAUAUUAUAUUAUUCCACAGGUGUACAAAAAGUGUAUUGAAGGCCUAUAAUGCUCUUGUAAAGUUGUGGGGCCAUGUAUUAAGACAUCCUUUAAGAGACAAUAUUCAUAUGUCAACCAGAAACAGUUUAAACAUGUCUAAUUGAAUCUAGUUGAGAAACUAGUUACAAAUACAUUCAAAGCAGCACACUAUUGACAGUCUCUUUAAAGGCAGCCCUAUGAGUGUCACGAAAAAAUACAACAUAGUUGGUUUCAUAUGGCUCCUUAGCACUUGCUACACUGGUCUUUUCCAUGCCAGAUGUUUGUCCGAUCUUACAUUUUAAACCAUUACACAAUGUUAAGUACUUCUUAAAAAUAAAUGUAAAAUACCCUUUUUUUCCUUCAUUCAUGGUCUCAGACAAUCAUUUUGAAAUCUGCAGAACCCUGACCGAUCAAUAGAAAAGAGACCCGAUGCAAUAUUUUCAGAGAAUCUAAUAUUGUUUUUGUCCACAUUUGCUAUAAAUUGUUCUUCACCACUGUAACCAAAUUCUGAGAGUUGUGGAUCAUUGGUUGUUUAUUUUUGGGAAAAUGUCCAUUCAAAAGGUUUGAUGGCUAUCAUGAUUUCACUUGAGUGUUUUCCAUGUUGAUAUACAUGCACUACAAAUGCAGGAUUUUUCUAUGGAUCCUUUGUAUUAAAUAUACUAUUUUCAACAAACUGUUUUUUCCCUGGUUACUAUGCCACUAGCAC
ensembl:lncRNA